GUUGCUUUGGCAGAAUAGUGCAAUUGAUUUAGGAUCUUUAAAUGUAAUUAUAUUACAAGUAACA
rnacentral:tRNA from 1 species